rnacentral:rRNA from 2 species
UACAAUGACUCUCGGCAACGGAUAUCUCGGCUCUCGCAUCGAUGAAGAACGUAGCGAAAUGCGAUACUUGGUGUGAAUUGCAGAAUCCCGUGAACCAUCGAGUUUUUGAACGCAAGUUGCGCCCGAAGCCGUUAGGCUGAGGGCACGCCUGCCUGGGUGUCACA